rnacentral:rRNA from 1 species
GCGGUUAUACUUCUUCUUCAACUCAAAAAUUCUAAAUAAAGUGUAUCAAAUUACUUUGUCUAAUAAUAAAAUUUACAAAUUUAAUUUUAGAAAUUAUCGGUUAAAUUGGAUUAGUACCCAAGUAAAUAAAUUAAUUAAUUAAGGUAAGACCUAAACUAAAUGGCCGUAUUAUUUUUAAAGCAGAGAAACUUGAAAUUUAGAAAAUCCACUCUAUUAUUAAUCUUAUAAAAGUUUAAGUAUGGCUGUCUAAAAAUAAAUCUUCAUUUAGAUUCAUAGUCAAGCAACAUUUAACUUAUGAGAAGAUUGUGAGUUGCAACAAAAAAAUUAUUAUAAGUUAUAAAAAUUAGGAUUUGCAAGUAAAAAAGAUUCUUGAAAUAACUCUAAGUACA